rnacentral:rRNA from 1 species
UAAGGAAUAUUGGUCAAUGGACGCAAGUCUGAACCAGCCAUGCCGCGUGGAGGAUGAAGGUCCUCUGGAUUGUAAACUUCUUUUAUCUGGGAAGAAAUCCACUUUUUCUAGAGUGGUUGACGGUACCAGAUGAAUAAGCACCGGCUAAUUCCGUGCCAGCAGCCGCGGUAAUACGGAGGGUGCAAGCGUUAUCCGGAUUCACUGGGUUUAAAGGGUGCGUAGGUGGGCAAGUAAGUCAGUGGUGAAAUCUCCGGGCUUAACCCGGAAACUGCCAUUGAUACUAUUUGUCUUGAAUACUGUGGAGGUCAGCGGAAUAUGUCAUGUAGCGGUGAAAUGCUUAGAUAUGACAUAGAACACCAAUUGCGAAGGCAGCUGGCUACACAAAUAUUGACACUGAGGCACGAAAAGCGUGGGGAUCAAACAGGAUUAGAUACCCUGGUAGUCCAACGCCCUAAACUAUGGAUACUCGACAUUUGCGAU